UGGGGAAUUUUCCGCAAUGGGCGAAAGCCUGAUGGAGCAACGCCGCGUGAGGGAGGAUGGCUUUUGGGUUGUAAACCUCUUUUCUCAAGGAAGAUAGUGACGGUACUUGAGGAAUCAGCAUCGGCUAACUCCGUGCCAGCAACCGCGGUAAUACGGAGGAGGCAAGCGUUAUCCGGAAUUAUUGGGCGUAAAGCGUCCGCAGGUGGUUUUUCAAGUCCGCUGUCAAAGACCGGAGCUUAACUCCGGAGAGGCAGUAGAAACUGAGGAACUAGAGACCGGUAGGGGUAGAGGGAAUUCCCAGUGUAGCGGUGAAAUGCGUAGAGAUUGGGAAGAACACCAGUGGCGAAAGCGCUCUACUGGGCCGGUACUGACACUCACAAGACGAAAGCUAGGGGAGCGAAAGGGAUUAGAUACCCCUGUAGUCC
rnacentral:rRNA from 1 species